rnacentral:lncRNA from 1 species
AAUAUAAUCUCAUUUAUAUAAUGAGGUUGUCAUAUGCAUAUUAACAUAUGAAAAUGAGAAAUACUAGGUUUUAAUUCUUGUAAAUAUAAUCUCAUUUAUAUAAUGAGGUUGUAAAUAUGUAUAUUAACAUAUGAAAACGAGAAAUACUAGGUUUUAUUUCUUAUAAAUAUAAUCUCAUUUAUAUAAUGAGGUUGUAAAUAUGUAUAUUUACAUAUGAAAAUGAGAAAUACUAGGUUUUAAUUCUUGUAAAUAUAAUCUCAUUUGUAUAAUGAGGUUUUAAAUAUGUAUAUUUACAUAUGAAAAUGAGAAAUACUAGGUUUUAAUUCUUGUAAAUAUAAUCUCAUUUAUAUAAUGAGGUUGUCAUAUGCAUAUUCACAUAUGAAAAUGAGAAAUAGUAGGUUUUAAUUCUUGUAAAUAUAAUCUCAUUUAUAUAAUGAGGUUGUAAAUAUUUAUAUUUACAUAUGAAAAUGAAAAAUACUAGGUUUUAAUUCUUCUAAAUAUAUUCUUGUAAAUAUAAUCUCAUUUAUAUAAUGAGGUUGUCAUAUGCAUAUUAACAUAUGAAAAUGAGAAAGACUAGGUUUUAAUUCUUGUAAAUAUAAUCUCAUUUAUAUAAUGAGGUUGUCAUAUGCAAAUUAACAUAUCAAAAUGAGAAAUACUAGGUUUUAAUUCUUGUAAAUAUAAUCUCAUUUAUAUAAGGAGGUUGUCAUAUGCAUAUUAACAUAUGAAAAUGAGAAAGACUAGGUUUUAAUUCUUGUAAAUAUAUUCCCAUUUAUAUAAUGAGGUUGUAAAUAUGUAUAUUAACAUAUGAAAAUGAGAAAUACUAGGUUUUAAUUCUUGUAAAUAUAAUCUCAUUUAUAUAAUGAGGUUGUCAUAUGCAUAUUAACAUAUGAAAAUAAGAAAGACUAGGUUUUAAUUCUUGUAAAUAAUCUCAUUUAUAUAAUGAGUUUGUCAUAUGCAUAUUAACAUUUGAAAAUGAGAAAAACUAGUUUUAAUUCUUGUAAAUAUAAUCUCAUUUAUAUAAUGAGGUUGUAAUAUGUAUAUUACAUAUGAAAAUGAGAAUACUAGGUUUUAAUUCUUGUAAUAAUAAUCUUUAUAUAAAUGAGGUUGUAAUAGUAUAUUUACAUAUGAAAAUGAGAAACUAGUUUUAAUUCUUGUAAAUAUAAUUCUUAUAUAAAUGAGGUUUUAAAUAUGUAUAUUUACAUAUAAAAUGAGAAAGACUAGGUUUUAAUUCUUGUAAAUAUAAUCUCAUUAAUAUAAUGAGUUGUCAUAUGCAUAUUAAUAUAAAAUGAGAAUACUAGGUUUUAAUUCUUGUAAAUAUAAUUCAUUAUAUAAUGAGGUUGUAAAUAUAUAUUUACAUAUGAAAAUGAGAAAACUAGGUUUUAAUUCUUGUAAAAUAUAUCUCAUUAUAUAAUGAGGUUGUAAUAUGUAUAUUUACAUAUGAAAAUGAGAAAACUAGGUUUUAAUUCUUGUAAAUAUAAUCUCAUUAUAAUGAGGUUGUAAUAUGAUAUUACAUAUGAAAAUGAGAAAUACUAGGUUUUAAUUCUUUGAAAUAUAAUCUCAUUUAUAUAAUGAGGUUUAAUAUGAUAUUACAUAUGAAAAUGAAGAAUACUAGGUUUUAAUUCUAAAUAUAUUCUCAUUUAUAUAAUGAGGUUGAUAUAUAUUAACAUAUGAAAUGAGAAAGACUAGUUUUAAUUCUUGUAAAUAUAUCUCAUUUAUAUAAUGAGGUUGUAUGUAUUAACAUAUGAAAUGAGAAAACUAGGUUUUAAUUCUUGUAAAUAUAAUCUCAUUUAUAUAAUGAGGUUGUAAUAUGUAUAUUACAUAUGAAAUGAGAAGACUAGGUUUUAAUUCUUGUAAAUAUAAUCUCAUUUAUAUAAUGAGUUGUCAUAUGCAUAUUAACAUUGAAAAGAGAAAACUAGUUUUAAUUCUUGUAAAUAUAAUCUCAUUUAUAUAAUGAGGUUGUUAUGAUUUAUUACAUAUGAAAAUGAGAAAUAUAGGUUUUAAUUCUUGUAAAUAUAAUCUCAUUUAUAUAAUGAGGUUGUAUAUGAUAUUACAAUAUGAAAAUGAGAAAACAGGUUUAAUUCUUGUAAAUAAUCUCUUAUAUAAUGAGGUUGUAAUAUGUAUAUUUACAUAUGAAAAUGAGAAACUAGGUUUUAAUUCUUGUAAAUUAAUCUCAUUUAUAUAAUGAGGUAUAUAUAUUACAUAUGAAAAUGAGAAAGACUAGGUUUUAAUUCUUGUAAAUAUAAUCUCAUUUAUAUAAUGAGGUUGUAAUAUGUAUAUUUACAUAUGAAAAUGAGAAAGACUAGGUUUAUUCUUGUAAAUAUAAUCUCAUUAUAUAAUGAGGUUGUAAUAUGCAUAUUAACAUAUGAAAAUGAGAAAGACUAGGUUUUAUUCUUGUAAUAAAUCUCUUUAUAUAAUGAGGUUGUAAUAUGUAUAUUUACAUAUGAAAAUGAGAAAACUAGGUUUUAAUUCUUGUAAAUAUAAUCUCUUAUAUAUGAGGUUGUAAAUAUGUAUAUUAACAUAUGAAAAUGAGAAAUACUAGGUUUAAUUCUUGUAAAUAUAAUCUCAUUAUAUAUAUGAGGUGUAAUAUGUAUAUUUACAUAUGAAAUGAAAACUAUGUUUAAUUCUUGUAAAUAUAAUCUCUUAUAUAAUGGGUUGUAAUAUGUAUAUUAACAUAUGAAAAUGAGAAAUACUAGGUUUAUUCGGUAAAUAUAAUCUCUUAUAUAAUGAGGUUUUAAAUAUGUAUAUUUACAUAUAAAAAUGAGAAAACUAGGUUUAAUUCUUGUAAAUAUAAUCUCAUUUAUAUAAUGAGGUUGUAUAUGAUAUUAACAUAUGAAAAUGAGAAAUACUAGGUUUAAUUCUUGUAAUAUAAUCUCAUUUUAUAAUGAGGUUUAUAGAGUAUAUUACAUAUGAAAAUGAGAAAGAUAGGUUUUAAUUCUUGUAAAUAUAAUCUAUAUUAUAUAAUGAGGUUGUAAAUAUGUAUUAUACAUAUGAAAAUGAGAAAGACUAGGUUUAUUCUUGUAAUAUAAUCUCAUUUAUAUAAUGAGGUUGUAUGUGCAUAUUAACAUAUGAAAAUGAGAAAUACUAGGUUUUAAUUCUUGUAAAUAUAAUCUCAUUAUAUAAUGAGGUUUAAUAUGUAUAUUUACAUAUAAAAUGAGAAAGUAGGUUUAUAAUUCUGUAACAUUAAUCCAUUUAUAUAAUGAGGUUGUAAAUAUGUAUAUUUACAUAUGAAAAUGAGAAAUACUAGGUUUUAAUUCUUGUAAAUAUAAUCUCAUUUAUAUAAUGAGGUUGUAAAUAUGUAUAUUUACAUAUGAAAAAGUGAAAUACUAGGUUUUAAUUCUUGUAAAUAUAAUCUCAUUUAAAUAAUGAGGUUGUAAAUAUGUAUAUUUACAUAUGAAAGUGAGAAAUACUAGGUUUUAAUUCUUGUAAAUAUAAUCUCAUGUAUAUAAUGAGGUUGUCUUAUGCAUAUUAACAUAUGAAAAUGAGAAAUACUUGGUUUUAAUUCUUGUAAAUAUAAUCUCAUGUAUAUAAUGAGGUUGUAAAUAUGUAUAUUUACAUAUGAAAAUG